rnacentral:rRNA from 1 species
AUUGAACGCUGGCGGCAGGCCUAACACAUGCAAGUCGAGCGGUAGAGAGAAGCUUGCUUCUCUUGAGAGCGGCGGACGGGUGAGUAAUGCCUAGGAAUCUGCCUGGUAGUGGGGGAUAACGUUCGGAAACGGACGCUAAUACCGCAUACGUCCUACGGGAGAAAGCAGGGGACCUUCGGGCCUUGCGCUAUCAGAUGAGCCUAGGUCGGAUUAGCUAGUUGGUGGGGUAAUGGCUCACCAAGGCGACGAUCCGUAACUGGUCUGAGAGGAUGAUCAGUCAAACGGGAACUGGAAAAGGGGCCAGAACCCGACGGGAGGCAGCAGGGGGGAAAAUUGGAAAAGGGGCGAAAGCCUGACCCAGCCAUGCCGGGGGGGGGAAGAAGGGUUUCGGAUGGUAAAGCACUUUAAGUUGGGAGGAAGGGCAGUAAAUUAAUACUUUGCUGUUUUGACGUUACCGACAGAAUAAGCACCGGCUAACUCUGU